AUUAAAAAACGUUGAAAAAGUGUUACUUUGCCAACGUUAAUAAAACGUUGUUUUGACAAUGUUGAGGAAGUGGCACAUUGAAAAUUAUUGUCUCAAUAACUAGCCAUUACAAAAAUAAUUUGCCUUAAUGGAAAGGCAAGGAAAACUUGGUAGAAUGCAUGCAUAUGGUUUGAAGCAGAGGCAGUUGUUCCAUCUUGUUCGAAAAAAGAUGGAUGGUUAUUUUGUCAACUUGUGUUCAUGCAAUGAAAGCUACCUAUAAUAAUUUUUCAAUCAUUGACUCCUGCAACACACUUAGACUUAAAAGAGUUAAAGUAACUGGAGAUAAAGAAGUAUGUGCAGGAUUUAAUUUCACAACUAAAGAGGACUCCAAAAAAGAAUUUAAGU